GAUGAACGCUGGCGGCGUGCUUAACACAUGCAAGUCGAACGAAGCAUUUAGGACAGAUUACUUCGGUUUGAAGUUCUUUAUGACUGAGUGGCGGACGGGUGAGUAACGCGUGGGUAACCUGCCUUGUACUGGGGGAUAGCAGCUGGAAACGGCUGGUAAUACCGCAUAAGCGCACAAUGUUGCAUGACAUGGUGUGAAAAACUCCGGUGGUAUAAGAUGGACCCGCGUCUGAUUAGCUAGUUGGUGAGAUAACAGCCCACCAAGGCGACGAUCAGUAGCCGACCUGAGAGGGUGACCGGCCACAUUGGGACUGAGACACGGCCCAGACUCCUACAGGAGGCAGCAGUGGGGAAUAUUGCACAAUGGAGGAAACUCUGAUGCAGCGACGCCGCGUGAGUGAAGAAGUAAUUCGUUAUGUAAAGCUCUAUCAGCAGGGAAGAUAGUGACGGUACCUGACUAAGAAGCUCCGGCUAAAUACGUG
rnacentral:rRNA from 1 species